UGAAGUUGGAUUAUUUUCGAAAAUCUCGCACUCGCAGUAUAAAAAUGCUUCGCCUUCGAACUUUUUAAACCCUUCCUCACCCCCUCACCCUUGCUUGCUUGCUGUCCAUCAGGCUUAGGGUUUCUCUGCAACAGUCGCUUUGCGAGCUCAAUUCAACGAGCACCAUAAGGCGCUAUUCCUUCAAAUCUACGUGUCGCCUCCCCAAAGAGAAACUUGAGGUUCUAUCUUUCAGUUCUUUUUCUUUUUCUGUUCUUUCUAAAUACCACUGCAAGCAAGGCAAGGCAAGGCAACUGAACGGGUUUUAAAUUUGAGCGAGAGUGUCGUUGCCGCUUCAGAUAAGGAUAUUGAGAUUUGAAACCACCUCGUGGACAUGGAGCCUGCGAUCAUGUAUGGAAAUGGCCAUUACCCCGCUUAUUCUGACACCAAACUUGUGUUUGAGUUGAGUUGUAGCUUGCUCAAUGCUGAUAGAUACAUCAGCGCUGUUGUUGUUGUGGCUUCAGCAAGCUCUACAUCUGAAGAGUCCGACUACAUUGACUCAGUGGGAAGUCAAUGUCCUUCUGUAUUUAGGUCUCUUGGUUUCGUGUUCAUUUGAACUACAGGCUACAGCUAGGUUGAGUCUGAUGAUGAUGAUCACGACGAGCCAUGGCCUCCCAAGCUUUGAGAAAGACACUGAGCGAAGCCCCAUCCAGGAGCAUGUGUGAAACGGUGGCAGCAAUGGCUAAGCAACUGGAGUGGGAGUAUCCCAUGUUCUUGGAGAUGGAAGAAAUUUUGAGAUUAAUGAGAGAUUAGGACUGUUGAGAAAGUGAUUCAAAUGGGAGUCAGUGCGGGCCUCAAUAUAGUAAGCUCCUUGGUCGUUGCAACUUGCAAUCUAUGGAAAGGUGGCCCUUGAUCUUUCCUGCAAGAGGGUAAAAAUGGGUUGAAGUUUUAGACACAGACUGCUUUAGCAGCAGCAGCAGUUGCCAUCUUUUAUCAUCCGCCAUCUCCAGUAUAGGAUUGGGAUUGGGAUUGGGAUAAUAGAGGAGCAUGGGGAGAUAGACGAGAGGUGCGAACUGGUCCACAAGAGACAGAUUGUAUAUAUAGCAUGGCAUCUAGCUGCUGCUAAGCGCUAACGCUCGCUCCACCGUAGUUUCAUGUACCCGCAAAAUCUUUAUUAACUUUCCCCCUUGCAGCCAUAAUCUCCUAUUA